AGUGAACGCUGGCGGUAGGCCUAACACAUGCAAGUCGAACGGCAGCACAGUAAGAGCUUGCUCUUACGGGUGGCGAGUGGCGGACGGGUGGGGAAUACAUCGGAUUCUACUUUUUCGUGGGUGAUAACGUAGGGAAACUUACGCUAAUACCGCAUACGACCUUCGGUUGAAAGCAGGAGAUCUUCGGACCUUGCGCGAUUGAAUGAGCCGAUGUCGGAUUAGCUAGUUGGCGGGGUAAAGGCCCACCAAGGCUACGAUCCGUAGCUGGUGUGAGAGGAGGAUCAGCCACACUGGAACUGAGACACGGUCCAGACUCCUACGGGAGGCAGCAGAGGGGAAUAUUGGACAAGUGGCGCAAUCCUGAUCCAGACCUACCGCCUGGUUGAAAAAGGCCUUCGGCUUUUAAAUGCAUUUUGUUGGGAAAGAAAAGCAGCAGGUUAAUACCCCGCUGUUCUGACGGUACCCAACGAAUAAGCACCGGCUAACUUCGUG
rnacentral:rRNA from 1 species